GGGCUUGACAUCCCACGAAUCCUGCCGAAAGGCAGGAGUGCCCGCAAGGGAGCGCGGAGACAGGUGGUGCAUGGCUGUCGUCAGCUCGUGUCGUGAGAUGUUGGGUUAAGUCCCGCAACGAGCGCAACCCUCACCCCUUGUUGCCACCAGGUCAUGCUGGGCACUCUAGGGGAACUGCCCCGGUCAACGGGGAGGAAGGCGGGGACGACGUCAAGUCAUCAUGCCCCUUACGUCCUGGGCUACACACGUGCUACAAUGGCCGGUACAGAGGGAUGCAAGACCGCGAGGUGGAGCUAAACCCAAAAAGCCGGUCUAAGUUCAGAUUGGAGUCUGCAACUCGACUCCAUGAAGGAGGAAUCGCUAGUAAUCGCGUAUCAGCACGACGCGGUGAAUACGUUCCCGGGCCUUGUACACACCGCCCGUCACACCACGAAAGCCAGUUGUACUCGAAGUCGCUGAG
rnacentral:rRNA from 1 species